CGCAUCCGACAGCUUUUGACUCCCGUGAGUGACAAUGCGCUGCCCUGCUAGCUGUCGGUUGCUGUCGCUCACGUCAGUAUACAGGGUCAAAAACACCACUUUUCUUGCUGUGUUAAUUGUCAAUACUACGAUAGCAAGACAACAAGGCUGAGGGAUCACACUUCACGGACGGCAAGGAAGGACACAGCACCACCAGGAUGGUCCAAAUACACCCCAAACCUGUUGCAUCCUUCUGGAGGAUGAACUUGAUACUCCGUCCCGCCUUGGCUUUGCCCUACGGUGCACUUUCAGGUUUUCCACCAGUGCAUGCAAGAACUACACCAGCGUAUGUGGAGUCACCUGGGCUCCAUGUGACCUCAAAGUAAUGACGACCAGUCAGGCCUUCGGUGCACAGAACAUGAGGAACUGAGCCAUCCUGAGGAGUA